AGUGGCCUGGCGCAGGAAAGGUGACCCAGUAGUUCAGCCUGUCCCAGCUGCCUGCCCCAGCACCAUCCCAGACCCCUUUCCCUGGGGCCCACCUUGGCCCUGAGGAAGGCCAGAGCUCGGCUGCUGUUCUCCAGGAAGUGCACACGCAGGCGGCCCCGGCUCGGGGGUGGCAGGGCCUCCCCUGAGAUGAGCUCCAGCAGCCGCAGGAGGUGGAUGCCGUCAGCCAGCUCUGUGUACAGGUUCCGGAUCUUGAUGCCCGCCUGGGGAGGGGACAGGGUGCAGCUCUGCUCGUGCCUGUGAAGCCUCCCACAGCCUGGGAAGGAAAAUCCAGACUUGCCAGACCUUGCCUCAGCCAGGCCUUGGAAGCCUGCCAGCUUACCUAACCAGACCCUCAGCCCAUGGAGUCCUGUGUGAUGUUGUGAGCGUGGGAGGACAGACUGAACUGCUCGGCCCGUGGAGUCCUGUGUGAUGUUGUGAGCGGGGAGGACAGACUGAACUGCGUGGUGCUUCGCACAUAGACCUCAACAGGGAUUGGCAUUUUGAAGCUGUUGGCGGGGGCUGUGGACUGCUUUUCUUCCUUUCUAGCUCAACGGCAGCUAAAGCCACUGCAUACAAUGCAAGGACUGGCUCCUGUUUGGCCACGACUGAUUGCAGCCCCUGGUGAAAUGAGAACCCUGUGGGUCGGAACAAAGUUUGGAUUAUUUAUGUUGCAAGUAACUAAAAUCUCAAGUGAAACUGGUUUAAACAUUA
rnacentral:lncRNA from 10 species